UCCCUGGAGGACUAGUGGUCAGGCCAUAGUGCUCUCACUGCUGCGGCACGGGUUUGAUUCCUGGCCAGGGAA
rnacentral:tRNA from 1 species